AUUGAACGCUGGCGGCAUGCUUUACACAUGCAAGUCGAACGGUAACAGGCCUUCGGGUGCUGACGAGUGGCGAACGGGUGAGUAAUGCAUCGGAACGUACCCAGAGGUGGGGGAUAACGCAGCGAAAGCUGUGCUAAUACCGCAUGUGAUCUGAGGAUGAAAGCGGGGGACCGCGCAGCAAUGUUUGGCCUCGCGCCUUUGGAGCGGCCGAUGUCGGAUUAGCUAGUUGGUGGGGUAAAGGCCUACCAAGGCGACGAUCCGUAGCUGGUCUGAGAGGACGACCAGCCACACUGGGACUGAGACACGGCCCAGACUCCUACGGGAGGCAGCAGUGGGGAAUUUUGGACAAUGGGCGCAAGCCUGAUCCAGCAAUGCCGCGUGCGGGAAGAAGGCCUUCAGGUUGUAAACCGCUUUUGGCAGGAACGAAACGGUGUCCGCUAAUACCGGGCGCUAAUGACGGUACCUGCAGAAUAAGCACCGGCUAACUACGUG
rnacentral:rRNA from 1 species